AACGAAACGCUGGCGGUAUGCUUAACACAUGCAAGUCGAACGAACAAAUUUGGGGCUUGCUCCAGAUUUAGUGAGUGGCAAACGGGUGGGUAAACACGUGGGAAUCUACCCAUCAGUACGGAAUAGCAUUUGGAAACAGAUGAUAAUACCGUAUAUUCUCUAAGGAGGAAAGAUUUAUCGCUGAUGGAUGAGCCCGCGUAAGAUUAGGUAGUUGGUAGGGUAAUGGCCUACCAAGCCGACGAUCUUUAGCUGGUCUGAGAGGAUGAUCAGCCACACUGGGACUGAGACACGGCCCAGACUCCUACGGGAGGGCAGCAGUGGGGAAUAUUGGACAAUGGGCGAAAGCCUGAUCCAGCAAAUACCGCGUGAAUGAUGAAGGCCUUA
rnacentral:rRNA from 1 species